rnacentral:tRNA from 1 species
UAGAUAGAUGCUCGCUGGCUCGAGCACUUAGCUGUUAACUAAGAACUUGUAGGAUCGAGGCCUGCCUAUCUAU